AUGCCUUGAAACAUCACCAUGGUAUAUUAAUCUGCAAUUUUUAAUGUUUAUGAUAUCUGCCACAAACAUAUCACCAUGUUUCAUGCCUUGAACACACUUUGAUUUCAUAUGCAUAUGUUUGACUACUGUUGGAUGACAAAUUUAUAUAUUUUGAAAAGGUAAAAGAGUCAAACACCCGUGUUGUGAUGAAAUGAAGAAGUAACGAAAGAUCCAAAUUGGAACAUGAAGCUCUUCAACAUCAACUGAUGUUCAACGAAAGGAAAAAGACGUGUUAAGGAAACAUACGUUUGACAAUCAGUCAGCUGUAGAAAAUGUACAAUUGCAAUGUAACUCUGUAAUACUAAGGACCACUUGAUUUCAGAAAUCCAUGUCUAACUGAAACGACGUCGAUUAUCUUUGUUUCAAGUAUGCCACUUGUUUUUUAUGUCAGUUUAACUUUAGUUUCAUUUCAAUUUCAAUGUUUAUGUUAUCUGCAACUUUAAUUUCAAAUAUUUAAGUUUCACUUAUUUUCUUCUCAUUGAUAUUUAUCAAUCAUGUCAUCUUUAUCUUCUGCAGUUUAAGCUUUGUGUAUUUUCUGCAUUGUUACGUCUCGUGAAACUUUUAAUUCAUGUAUCAUAAUUAAAAACACAUUUGAAGGACUAUUAUAUUUUAGGGUAGAUAAGACGAGCAAAUCGCCAUAAGAGAAUCUAAAUCCCAUUAUUUUCACUUUAUCUCUUUUCCCGCCAAAUCAUAAAAAAUGCUUAAAUGUUGUCUUGGUUCUCCUAUUUUAAAAAAACUGAAAUUUUGGUUCAUUUAUUUUUAAUUACGCAAUUUUAGUUUCCUAUUUCAGAAUUCUUAACCAACACAUAAUUUUGACAAUUCAAUUAGAUGACUGACAAUUCACUUCAAGUCUUUUUUAUCAUUUCAAUUGAUCUUCUUUUGAUUUUGUAUGAUCACGAUUUAUUUUAAUACCAUAUUGUUAAAAACUCUUAGCAAUUAGACUAUUCGUUUUCAUGUCAAAUCACCUAAUUAAUUCUCACGUCAUCAAAUCGGAAGUAUCUAAAUUGCAAUUAUGCAAUAAUACGGGGACCAAAACUCAUUUUCGGCAAACAAAAAAUUCUUUUAUUGAUUCAAAUUAUGAAAAACUCAAGAGAGAAUCACUGAAACCAAAUCCAGUGUUUAUGGUUGGAUCAUGAUAGAUAUUUCCAUUCCUUAACUUCUUCUUUUCGUGCACCUCUCUUUUAUACAUGCUCUCUGCAAGGCUUCUGAAACGGUGGUGCUACUUUGAGCGGUGUUGCUAGCAGAAACAAAUUCGAAGGAAACAUUCUUUAGGACGUUCGAGCUGAAAUUGGAAGAUCAAUGCCGUAACAUUCUUGAUCCUCUGACCGCAGCGGUUGCCGGAUUCGAUGAAGACUGAAGUAAAGUUCAUAUCUUUUUAGCUUUAUAAUAUGCACAAUGAUGUGGCAGUAUAUUACAUUAUAUGCAUUUGGGAUUUGAAGGAAACUGAGAUGCAAUAGAAGAGGGUCGUGAUUUGGAAUCGACUGAUUUUGAAUGAUUUGAUGAUGUUAUUGUCUUGGCAUUAGCCGAUGACGGUCCCUUUUCAACACUUAUUUCGUUGACCUGCUUAAAAUAAAAAGGAUGUUUAAGAUUGUAGUAUAAUUCAAUUCUUGCUUUGAAAAAGAGUCAAAAAGAAUACAAACAAAUUGAGAGAGAAUGUAUUUUGUUUAGGAGCGACUAAUUGUAUAGGUAGCUCAUUCCUUUCUGUUUCUGAAACGGUGGACAAAGUUUAUGCUACACUUUUUCUAAUGUUGAACCCUUCAUUUCAACAUAUUUUGAAGCUC
rnacentral:lncRNA from 1 species